rnacentral:rRNA from 1 species
UACAGAGGGUGCAAGCGUUAAUCGGAAUCACUGGGCUUAAAGCGUUCGUAGGCGGAUCUGUAGGCGCGUUGUGAAAGCCCUCGGCUCAACCGGGGAACUGCUUCGCGAACCACAGAUCUUGAGUCAAGUAGGGGCGAUCGGAACGAUAGGUGGAGCGGUGAAAUGCGUAGAUAUCUAUCGGAACGCCGAAGGUGAAGACAGGUCGCUGGGCUUGUACUGACGCUGAGGAACGAAAGCGUGGGGAGCAAACGGG